ACAACGGUUGUUUUGACAACCAUAUAUAAAAAAGAUAUAAUUAUUU
rfam:Candidatus Falkowbacteria bacterium RIFOXYA2_FTLL_47_19 rifoxya2_full_scaffold_336, whole genome shotgun sequence.